rnacentral:rRNA from 1 species
CCCUUAGAUGUUCUGGGCCGCACACGCGCUACACUGAAGGAGGCAGCGUGUACUCCUGGAUCGAAAGAUUUGGGUAACCCGCGAAUCUCCUUCGUGCUAGGGAUUGAGGUUUGCAAUUAUCCUUCAUGAACGAGGAAUUCCCAGUAAGUGCAAGUCAUAAGCUUGCGCUGACUACGUGCCUGCCCUUUGUACACACCGCCCGUCGCUACUACCGAUUGAAUGAUUUAGUGAGGACUUCGGACUGGGACCGAUGCGGCUUUCGGGCUGCGUCGGUAUUCUGGAAAGAUGUCCAAACUGUAUCAUUUAGAGGAAGUAAAAGUCGUAACA